AUGGAUGUGAUGAUUAUUUCCCCAGAUGAUCGACGCUGAACAUAAUGUGCGAUUUUUUUCUCUUAAGAGAAAUCAAGCCAAAUAAAUCUGAUCCAU
rfam:Cajanus cajan CcLG01_269, whole genome shotgun sequence.